rnacentral:rRNA from 1 species
UUAAGCGACUAAGCGUACACGGUGGAUGCCCUGGCAGUCAGAGGCGAUGAAGGACGUGCUAAUCUGCGAAAAGCGUCGGUAAGGUGAUAUGAACCGUUAUAACCGGCGAUGUCCGAAUGGGGAAACCCAGUGUGAUUCGUCACACUAUCGUUAACUGAAUACAUAGGUUAACGAGGCGAACCGGGGGAACUGAAACAUCUAAGUACCCCGAGGAAAAGAAAUCAACCGAGAUUCCCCCAGUAGCGGCGAGCGAACGGGGAGCAGCCCAGAGUCUGAAUCAGCUUGUGUGUUAGUGGAACGGUCUGGAAAGUCCGACGGUACAGGGUGAUAGUCCCGUACACCAAAAUGCACAGGUUGUGAACUCGAAGAGUAGGGCGGGACACGUGGUAUCCUGUCUGAAUAUGGGGGGACCAUCCUCCAAGGCUAAAUACUCCUGACUGACCGAUAGUGAACCAGUACCGUGAGGGAAAGGCGAAAAGAACCCCGGCGAGGGGAGUGAAAAAGAACCUGAAACCGUGUACGUACAAGCAGUGGGAGCACCUUCGGGUGUGACUGCGUACCUUUUGUAUAAUGGGUCAGCGACUUAUAUUCUGUAGCAAGGUUAACCGUAUAGGGGAGCCGCAGGGAAACCGAGUCUUAACUGGGCGUUAAGUUGCAGGGUAUAGACCCGAAACCCGGUGAUCUAGCCAUGGGCAGGUUGAAGGUUGGGUAACACUAACUGGAGGACCGAACCGACUAAUGUUGAAAAAUUAGCGGAUGACUUGUGGCUGGGGGUGAAAGGCCAAUCAAACCGGGAGAUAGCUGGUUCUCCCCGAAAGCUAUUUAGGUAGCGCCUCGUGAACUCAUCUUCGGGGGUAGAGCACUGUUUCGGCUAGGGGGUCAUCCCGACUUACCAACCCGAUGCAAACUACGAAUACCGAAGAAUGUUAUCACGGGAGACACACGGCGGGUGCUAACGUCCGUCGUGAAGAGGGAAACAACCCAGACCGCCAGCUAAGGUCCCAAAGUCAUGGUUAAGUGGGAAACGAUGUGGGAAGGCACAGACAGCCAGGAUGUUGGCUUAGAAGCAGCCAUCAUUUAAAGAAAGCGUAAUAGCUCACUGGUCGAGUCGGCCUGCGCGGAAGAUGUAACGGGGCUAAACCAUGCACCGAAGCUGCGGCAGCGACGCUUAUGCGUUGUUGGGUAGGGGAGCGUUCUGUAAGCCUGCGAAGGUGGCCUGUGAGGGUUGCUGGAGGUAUCAGAAGUGCGAAUGCUGACAUAAGUAACGAUAAAGCGGGUGAAAAGCCCGCUCGCCGGAAGACCAAGGGUUCCUGUCCAACGUUAAUCGGGGCAGGGUGAGUCGACCCCUAAGGCGAGGCCGAAAGGCGUAGUCGAUGGGAAACAGGUUAAUAUUCCUGUACUUGGUGUUACUGCGAAGGGGGGACGGAGAAGGCUAUGUUAGCCGGGCGACGGUUGUCCCGGUUUAAGCAUGUAGGCGGAGGUUCCAGGUAAAUCCGGUACCUUUUAACGCUGAGGUGUGAUGACGAGGCACUACGGUGCUGAAGUAACAAAUGCCCUGCUUCCAGGAAAAGCCUCUAAGCAUCAGGUAACAUUAAAUCGUACCCCAAACCGACACAGGUGGUCAGGUAGAGAAUACCAAGGCGCUUGAGAGAACUCGGGUGAAGGAACUAGGCAAAAUGGUGCCGUAACUUCGGGAGAAGGCACGCUGGUGUGUAGGUGAAGUCCCUGCGGAUGGAGCUGAGACCAGUCGAAGAUACCAGCUGGCUGCAACUGUUUAUUAAAAACACAGCACUGUGCAAACACGAAAGUGGACGUAUACGGUGUGACGCCUGCCCGGUGCCGGAAGGUUAAUUGAUGGGGUUAUCCGUAAGGAGAAGCUCUUGAUCGAAGCCCCGGUAAACGGCGGCCGUAACUAUAACGGUCCUAAGGUAGCGAAAUUCCUUGUCGGGUAAGUUCCGACCUGCACGAAUGGCGUAAUGAUGGCCAGGCUGUCUCCACCCGAGACUCAGUGAAAUUGAACUCGCUGUGAAGAUGCAGUGUACCCGCGGCAAGACGGAAAGACCCCGUGAACCUUUACUAUAGCUUGACACUGAACAUUGAGCCUUGAUGUGUAGGAUAGGUGGGAGGCUUUGAAGCGUGGACGCCAGUCUGCGUGGAGCCAACCUUGAAAUACCACCCUUUAAUGUUUGAUGUUCUAACGUUGGCCCGUAAUCCGGGUUGCGGACAGUGUCUGGUGGGUAGUUUGACUGGGGCGGUCUCCUCCCAAAGAGUAACGGAGGAGCACGAAGGUUAGCUAAUCCUGGUCGGACAUCAGGAGGUUAGUGCAAUGGCAUAAGCUAGCUUGACUGCGAGCGUGACGGCGCGAGCAGGUGCGAAAGCAGGUCAUAGUGAUCCGGUGGUUCUGAAUGGAAGGGCCAUCGCUCAACGGAUAAAAGGUACUCCGGGGAUAACAGGCUGAUACCGCCCAAGAGUUCAUAUCGACGGCGGUGUUUGGCACCUCGAUGUCGGCUCAUCACAUCCUGGGGCUGAAGUAGGUCCCAAGGGUAUGGCUGUUCGCCAUUUAAAGUGGUACGCGAGCUGGGUUUAGAACGUCGUGAGACAGUUCGGUCCCUAUCUGCCGUGGGCGCUGGAGAAUUGAGGGGGGCUGCUCCUAGUACGAGAGGACCGGAGUGGACGCAUCACUGGUGUUCGGGUUGUCAUGCCAAUGGCACUGCCCGGUAGCUAAAUGCGGAAGAGAUAAGUGCUGAAAGCAUCUAAGCACGAAACUUGCCCCGAGAUGAGUUCUCCCUGAGACUUUAAGUCUCCUGAAGGAACGUUGAAGACGACGACGUUGAUAGGCCGGGUGUGUAAGCGCAGCGAUGCGUUGAGCUAACCGGUACUAAUGAACCGUGAGGCUUAACCUU